UACGAAGGGGGCUAGCGUUGCUCGGAAUCACUGGGCGUAAAGCGCACGUAGGCGGCUUUUUAAGUCAGAGGUGAAAUCCUGGAGCUCAACUCCAGAACUGCCUUUGAUACUGGAGUGCUUGAGUCCGGGAGAGGUGAGUGGAACUGCGAGUGUAGAGGUGAAAUUCGUAGAUAUUCGCAAGAACACCAGUGGCGAAGGCGGCUCACUGGCCCGGUACUGACGCUGAGGUGCGAAAGCGUGGGGAGCAAAGCAGG
rnacentral:rRNA from 1 species